rnacentral:rRNA from 1 species
GACGAACGCUGUGUGGCGUGCUUAACACAUGCAAGUCGAACGGAAAGGCCCUGCUUUUGUGGGGUGCUCGAGUGGCGAACGGGUGAGUAACACGUGAGUAACCUGCCCUUGACUUUGGGAUAACUUCAGGAAACUGGGGCUAAUACCGGAUAGGAGCUCCUGCUGCAUGGUGGGGGUUGGAAAGUUUCGGCGGUUGGGGAUGGACUCGCGGCUUAUCAGCUUGUUGGUGGGGUAGUGGCUUACCAAGGCUUUGACGGGUAGCCGGCCUGAGAGGGUGACCGGCCACAUUGGGACUGAGAUACGGCCCAGACUCCUACGGGAGGCAGCAGUGGGGAAUAUUGCACAAUGGGCGGAAGCCUGAUGCAGCAACGCCGCGUGCGGGAUGACGGCCUUCGGGUUGUAAACCGCUUUCGCCUGUGACGAAGCGUGAGUGACGGUAAUGGGUAAAGAAGCACCGGCUAACUACGUGCCAGCAGCCGCGGUGAUACGUAGGGUGCGAGCGUUGUCCGGAUUUAUUGGGCGUAAAGGGCUCGUAGGUGGUUGAUCGCGUCGGAAGUGUAAUCUUGGGGCUUAACCCUGAGCGUGCUUUCGAUACGGGUUGACUUGAGGAAGGUAGGGGAGAAUGGAAUUCCUGGUGGAGCGGUGGAAUGCGCAGAUAUCAGGAGGAACACCAGUGGCGAAGGCGGUUCUCUGGGCCUUUCCUGACGCUGAGGAGCGAAAGCGUGGGGAGCGAACAGGCUUAGAUACCCUGGUAGUCCACGCUGUAAACGGUGGGUACUAGGUGUGGGGUCCAUUCCACGGGUUCCGUGCCGUAGCUAACGCUUUAAGUACCCCGCCUGGGGAGUACGGCCGCAAGGCUAAGACUCAAAGGAAUUGACGGGGCCCCGCACAAGCGGCGGAGCAUGCGGAUUAAUUCGAUGCAACGCGUAGAACCUUACCUGGGUUUGACAUGGAUCGGGAGUGCUCAGAGAUGGGUGUGCCUCUUUUGGGGUCGGUUCACAGGUGGUGCAUGGCUGUCGUCAGCUCGUGUCGUGAGAUGUUGGGUUAAGUCCCGCAACGAGCGCAACCCUUGUUCACUGUUGCCAGCACGUUAUGGUGGGGACUCAGUGGAGACCGCCGGGGUCAACUCGGAGGAAGGUGGGGAUGACGUCAAGUCAUCAUGCCCCUUAUGUCCAGGGCUUCACGCAUGCUACAAUGGCUGGUACAGAGAGUGGCGAGCCUGUGAGGGUGAGCGAAUCUCGGAAAGCCGGUCUCAGUUCGGAUUGGGGUCUGCAACUCGACCUCAUGAAGUCGGAGUCGCUAGUAAUCGCAGAUCAGCAACGCUGCGGUGAAUACGUUCCCGGGGCU